ACGGGAGGCAGCAGUGGGGAAUAUUGCACAAUGGGGGAAACCCUGAUGCAGCGACGCCGCGUGAGUGAAGAAGUUAUUCGUAAUGUAAAGCUCUAUCAGCAGGGAAGAAAAUGACGGUACCUGACUAAGAAGCCCCGGCUAACUACGUGCCAGCAGCCGCGGUAAUACGUAGGUAGCAAGCGUUGUCCGGAAUGACUGGGCGUAAAGGGUGCGUAGGUUGCUUGGUAAGUUGGUAGUGAAAUUCCGAGGCUUAACUUCGGCGCUACUAUCAAGACUGCUGAGCUUGAGUACAGGAGAGGUAAGUGGAAUUCCUAGUGUAGCGGUGGAAUGCGUAGAUAUUAGGAGGAACACCAGUGGCGAAGGCGACUUACUGGCCUGCAACUGACACUGAGGCACGAAAGCGUGGGGAGCAAACAGGAUUAGAUACCCUGGUA
rnacentral:rRNA from 1 species